ensembl:lncRNA
GGGAACAGCAGAGGGAGAACUGGGAACAGCAGAGGGAGAACAGGGAACAGCAGAGGGAGAACGGGGAACAGCAGAGGGAGAACGGGGAACAGCAGAGGGAGAACAGGAACAGCAGAGAGAGAACUGGGAACAGCAGAGGGAGAUCGGGGAACAGCAGAGGGAGAACAGUGAACAGCAGAGGGAGAUCGGGGAACAGCAGAGGGAGAACAGGGAACAGCAGAGGGAGAACAGGGAACAGCAGAGGGAGAACGGGGAACAGCAGAGGGAGAACUGGGAACAGCAGAGGGAGAUCGGGGAACAGCAGAGGGAGAACAGUGAACAGCAGAGGGAGAUCGGGGAACAGCAGAGGGAGAACAGGGAACAGCAGAGGGAGAACAGGGAACAGCAGAGGGAGAACGGGGAACAGCAGAGGGAGAACAGUGAACAGCAGAGGGAGAACGGGGAACAGCAGAGGGAGAACAGUGAACAGCAGAGGGAGAACGGGAACAGUAGAGGGAGAACGUGGAACAGCAGAG